UCCAUUGCUCAGUUGGUAGAGCACAAGGCUCUUAACCCUGUGGUCUUGGGUUCAAGCCCCAUGAUGGAG
rnacentral:tRNA from 1 species